rnacentral:rRNA from 1 species
GACGAACGCUGGCGGCGUGCUUAACACAUGCAAGUCGAGCGGAAAGGCCCUUCGGGGUACUCGAGCGGCGAACGGGUGAGUAACACGUGAGUAACCUGCCCUUGGCUCUGGGAUAGCUCCGGGAAACCGGAAUUAAUACCGGAUAUGACCUCGGCCGACAUCGGCUGUGGUGGAAAGAUUUAUCGGCCAGGGAUGGGCUCGCGGCCUAUCAGCUAGUUGGUGGGGUAACGGCCUACCAAGGCGACGACGGGUAGCCGGCCUGAGAGGGCGACCGGCCACACUGGGACUGAGACACGGCCCAGACUCCUACGGGAGGCAGCAGUGGGAAUAUUGCGCAAUGGGCGAAAGCCUGACGCAGCGACGCCGCGU